rnacentral:rRNA from 1 species
CCCAGGGAUGAGCCCGCGUAGGAUUAGCUAGUUGGUUGGGUAAAGGCUGACCAAGGCGACGAUCCUUAGCUGGUCUGAGAGGAUGAUCAGCCACACUGGGACUGAGACACGGCCCAGACUCCUACGGGAGGCAGCAGUAGGGAAUAUUGGACAAUGGGGGCAACCCUGAUCCAGCAAUGCCGCGUGAGUGAUGAAGGCCUUAGGGUUGUAAAGCUCUUUUACCCGGGAUGAUAAUGACAGUACCGGGAGAAUAAGCCMRAGCUAACUCCGUGCCAGCAGCCGCGGUAAUACGGAGGGGGCUAGCGUUGUUCGGAAUUACUGGGCGUAAAGCGCACGUAGGCGGCGAUUUAAGUCAGAGGUGAAAGCCCGGGGCUCAACCCCGGAAUAGCCUUUGAGACUGGAUUGCUUGAACAUCGGAGAGGUGAGUGGAAUCCCGAGUGUAGAGGUGAAAUUCGUAGAUAUUCGGAAGAACACCAGUGGCGAAGGCGGCUCACUGGACGAUUGUUG